UACGUAGGUGACAAGCGUUGUCCGGAUUUACUGGGCGUAAAGAGCGCGCAGGCGGUCGUUCAAGUCGAGUGUGAAAGCCCCCGGCUCAACUGGGGAGGGUCAUUCGAUACUGAUCGACUCGAAGGCAGGAGAGGGUAGUGGAAUUCCCGGUGUAGUGGUGGAAUGCGUAGAGCUCCGGAGGAACACCAGUGGCGAAGGACGGCCGGCCCUGG
rnacentral:rRNA from 1 species